rnacentral:rRNA from 1 species
ACCUCUUACUAGGGAAUAGCCCAGAGAAAUUUGGAUUAAUGCCCUAUGUUAUAUUGAGUCGGCAUCGAUUUUAUAUUAAAGGUUACGGUAAGAGAUGAGCAUGCGUCCCAUUAGUUAGUUGGUAAGGUAACGGCUUACCAAGGCUUCGAUGGGUAGGGGUCCUGAGAGGGAGAUCCCCCACACUGGUACUGAGACACGGACCAGACUCCUACGGGAGGCAGCAGUGAGGAAUAUUGGACAAUGGACGGAAGUCUGAUCCAGCCAUGCCGCGUGUAGGAAGACUGCCCUAUGGGUUGUAAACUACUUUUAUACAGGAAGAAUAAGAUCUACGUGUAGAUUGAUGACGGUACUGUAAGAAUAAGGACCGGCUAACUCCGUGCCAGCAGCCGCGGUAAUACGGAGGGUCCGAGCGUUAUCCGGAAUUAUUGGGUUUAAAGGGUCCGUAGGCGGGCUGUUAAGUCAGAGGUGAAAUGCUGCGGCUCAACCGUAUGCACUGCCUUUGAUACUGGCGGUCUUGAGUUAUAGUGAAGUGGCUAGAAUAUGUAGUGUAGCGGUGAAAUGCAUAGAUAUUACAUAGAAUACCGAUUGCGAAGGCAGGUCACUAACUAUACACUGACGCUGAUGGACGAAAGCGUGGGUAGCGAACAGGAUUAGAUACCCUGGUAGUCCACGCCGUAAACGAUGGAUACUAGCUGUUCG